rnacentral:rRNA from 1 species
AGAUUAAGUUAUUAAGGGCGCACGGUGGAUGCCUUGGCACUAGAAGCCGAUGAAGGACGUUACUAACGACGAUAUGCUUUGGGGAGCUGUAAGUAAGCUUUGAUCCAGAGAUUUCCGAAUGGGGAAACCCAGCAUGAGUUAUGUCAUGUUAUCGAUAUGUGAAUACAUAGCAUAUCAGAAGGCACACCCGGAGAACUGAAACAUCUUAGUACCCGGAGGAAGAGAAAGAAAAUUCGAUUCCCUUAGUAGCGGCGAGCGAAACGGGAAGAGCCCAAACCAAAAAGCUUGCUUGUUGGGGUUGUAGGACACUCUAUACGGAGUUACAAAGGACGACAUUAGACGAAUCAUCUGGAAAGAUGAAUCAAAGAAGGUAAUAAUCCUGUAGUCGAAAAUGUUGUCUCUCUUGAGUGGAUCCUGAGUACGACGGAGCACGUGAAAUUCCGUCGGAAUCUGGGAGGACCAUCUCCUAAGGCUAAAUACUCUCUAGUGACCGAUAGUGAACCAGUACCGUGAGGGAAAGGUGAAAAGCACCCCGGAAGGGGAGUGAAAUAGAACCUGAAACCGUGUGCUUACAAGUAGUCAGAGCCCGUUAAUGGGUGAUGGCGUGCCUUUUGUAGAAUGAACCGGCG